AUUGAACGCUGGCGGCAUGCCUUACACAUGCAAGUCGAACGGCAGCACGGGUGCUUGCACCUGGUGGCGAGUGGCGAACGGGUGAGUAAUACAUCGGAACAUGUCCUGUAGUGGGGGAUAGCCCGGCGAAAGCCGGAUUAAUACCGCGUACGAUCCACGGAUGAAAGCGGGGGACCUUCGGGCCUCGCGCUAUAGGGUUGGCCGAUGGCUGAUUAGCUAGUUGGUGGGGUAAAGGCCUACCAAGGCGACGAUCAGUAGCUGGUCUGAGAGGACGACCAGCCACACUGGGACUGAGACACGGCCCAGACUCCUACGGGAGGCAGCAGUGGGGAAUUUUGGACAAAGGGCGAAAGCCUGAUCCAGCAAUGCCGCGUGUGUGAAGAAGGCCUUCGGGUUGUAAAGCACUUUUGUCCGGAAAGAAAUCCUUGGCUCUAAUGCAGUCGGGGGAUGACGGUACCGGAAGAAUAAGCACCGGCUAACUACGUG
rnacentral:rRNA from 1 species